UCCAAUAUAUUCGACAUUGCAACACAGCGCACCGCGGCUUUCCAAGCGCUUUCCUCCUCCCGGAAAGCGUUUCCUCGGCUGCUUGUGGGACCCGUGCUGCCAUCUAGUUAAUGUGGUCAAUGUCGGCGUGUUUCCCGCCUCUCAGGAGCACUCGAAAUGGCGGGAUUGAGCACGAACGAUUUUUGCGGCUGCCGCCUAAGAAGCUCCGUGUGAGUGAUGCCACGGCUGAGAAAAUCUUGGAGAGAAUUGCAGAGCGGGACACCUCAGACUUGGACCUCUCGGACAGUGAUGACGACUCUGCUGAAGACUUCGUGUUCACUUCAUCGGUCCUGCACAAUGAGUCAAGUUCUGAAGAUGAAGAUACAAUUAAUGAAGGCUCCCCUGUGGCGUCGAUCUCCACUUCCACAUCUUUGGGGACGCAAAGACCCAGCCGUUGGAAAAAGACAGAGCGGAUGACAAAUUCGAAGAUGUCAGCUUUUCAGCCCGUCGUCGACAAGCACCACCGUAAAUCAUGGUGUCAUCUUGAUUACUUCAAACAGUACAUUCCGGAUGAGCU